AUUUAUAUAGUUUAAUAAAAACAAUUCAUUUUCAAUGAAUAGAAAAGUAUAAAUACUUUAUAAAUA
rnacentral:tRNA from 1 species